AUUUUUGUGAAAUAGUGAAUUUUUAAAAGAAAUUGUUCAAGAAACAGAUUUUCUGGAUCUUAGUAGUAUCGAAUAAAGUGCAUUGACGUUUAUAAAAAUCAUAUUGAAAAGGUAUAGUAUAAGUUAUAGAUAAUUUUAUGCUUUCACUAUCAAAUCGUAAAUUUUCGAAUUGUAGUAAUAUCUAUUCGAAAUAAUUGUCUUGAAUAUAGGCACAGUUUAUUGCGCAUGCGGAUGUUAGACUGCGACAUCUAUCUCAUAAAUAAUUAUAGAAUUUUGUCGACGUGGUUUUUGGCGAAGUAGUGAAUUUUUAAAAGAAAUUGUUCAAGAAAUAUCAAGAAAUAGUUUUUCUGGAUUUUAGUAGUGUCGAAUAAAGUGCAUUGACGUUCAUAAAAAUCGUAUUGAAAAGGUGUAGUGUGAGUUUAUGGAUAAUUUUAUGCUUUCACUAUCAAGCCGCGAAUUUUUCGAAUUUCUCUUUAGUAGUUUUCCCACGUAACUUUACAUGCCCAAUAAAUAUUGCGAUUUCGAAAGAUUGAAUUAAUUAUGAAUUUUAAAUAUAUUUGAUAGAAUCAUAUAAUUAUUACGUUUAUUAUUAUCGUAUUGUUCUUAUAUUACGAUCAACGUACCAUUUAUCGAAGAUGGAACUUACAGCCAGAGAAAAAAGCUUCGUAGGCGCGGUUAACAAAAAGUGAACACCGCUGGAAAAAAUCAAGCAUUUGUAUUCCGCGGAGAUUUUUCAACGGCGGCCGGACAGUUUUCUCAUUUCGUUUAUGGCCAGCCAUAACAUAACUCCGGGACCUACUACCGCCGCUCGACAAACACCGAAAUUUCGAGCGGCAAAACACAAAAUCAGACACGACUAUGCGUGGGUGGAAUGGAGUAGCAUCCUGGCAACACUUUGCCAAGCAAGAAGACGUCGCUCCGUUUUAUUCAUAACAUUGUCUAGAUUAUCUAUAACGAAUUUGAAGAUAGAAUAACACUUGAACAUACACAAGUUAUUAUCACUUCUAUCUGAAUAUUAAAUAACUAUUAUUCAACGAAUUCACGUUUUGAAGACAUUAAAUCUCUCCAUUUACGGACAAAUGUCUACAAUUUUAUCAUAUAAAUGCUAAUCAAAUGGACUUUCCACUAUCAUCCCAUCGGAUACCCUUCAAUUCUUCGAAUCAACCCCUCGAAGAAGGACCACCAAAAACAAAACUCGUCCAGGACAAGCGUAUCCAAUGUAACCCACACUUGAACAAUCCUCAGUCCGGCCGUUUACCAGACGAAUCCCCCCUUUUUUCAAGGAUCCACGAGAGGGAUAUUUCUUCUGGCGCAUGAUCUUUUCACCUGUCAUCGGCCUCCUAUGAUCGCCGAAACAUUGGAACCCGAAGACUCUUCGUUAACAUAUGAUGAUAAAUCGUAAGAAAAUCAUUGCUGCAAUCGUAAGUAACUUACACUUGUUUUCCUUUUGGAUUCCUUUACCGAAUAUUUCUCAGAACUCAUUAAAAACAGGAAAUAGACAUAUUUUCAAUCGAAACGAAUCUUAACAAACAGGAUAAUUAUAAUUCGUCACAGAAAUUUUCCACUGCGAAUCACAACCGAGUUUCAUAGACUCCCAUUCUUUUUCGUAAU